CCUACGUGAGGCAGCAGUUAGGAAUAUUGGUCAAUGGGCUGGAGCCUGAACCAGCCAAGUCGCGUUAGGGAAGACUGUCCUAUGGAUUGUCAACCUCUUUAGGCUGGGAGCCAUGCCGGGCACGCGUGCCCGGAGGGAGAGUACCCGCAGAAUAAGCAUCGGCGAACUCCGUGCCAGCAGCCGCGGUAAUACGGAGGAUGCGAGCGUUCUCCGGAUUUAUGGGGUUUAAAGGGUGCGUAGGCGGAUUUUUAAGUCAGCGGUAAAAUUUCCGGGCUCAACCCGGGCCGGCCGUUGAAACUGGGGAUCUUGAGUGGGCGAGAAGGAUGCGGAAUGCGUGGUGGAGCGGUGAAAUGCAUAGAUAACACGCAGAACUCCGAUUGCGAAGGCAGCAUACCGGCGCCCGACUGACGCUGAGGCACGAAAGCGUGGGGAUCGAACAGGAUUAGAUACCCUAGUAGUC
rnacentral:rRNA from 1 species